rnacentral:rRNA from 1 species
CGAAGACAACUAGGAUGUUGGCUCAGAAGCAGCCAUACAUUCAAAGAGUGCGUAAUAGCUCACUAGUCGAGAGGUCCUGCGCCGAAAAUGUCCGGGGCUGAAACACAACACCGAAGCUUAGGAAUGUACGUAAGUACAUUGGUAGAGGAGCAUUCUUAAAGGAGCGAAGCAGUACCGAUAAGGAGCUGUGGACUUUUAAGAAGAGAGAAUGCCGGAAUGAGUAGCGAGAUGGAGGUGAGAAUCCUCCAGGCCGAAUAUCCAAGGUUUCCAGAGUAAAGCUGAUCUGCUCUGGGUAAGUCGGGGCCUAAGGCGAGGCUGAGAGGCGUAGUCGAUGGACAACAGGUUGAGAUUCCUGUACCGUGUAUCAUCAGAACUGUGGGGACACAGAAGGACAACACAUCCCGGGAAUGGGAAUACCGGGGCAAGCGAGGUAGGAGUACGGUUGGCAAAUCCGCCGUACAAUCCGAAUACGUGACGCGGAGCGAACUAAAGUAGUGAAGUGUGUGAUUCCAGCUGUCAAGAAAAGCCGCUAUUGUGUGAUGCACGCCCGUACCGUAAACCGACACAGGUAGAUGAGGAGAGAAUCCUAAGGCCGGCGGGAGAAGCAUUGUUAAGGAACUCGGCAAAAUGACCCCGUAACUUCGGGAGAAGGGGUGCCACAGAGAUGUGGCCGCAGAGAAUAGGCUCAAGCAACUGUUUAGCAAAAACACAGGUCUAUGCAAAACCGAAAGGUGAGGUAUAUGGGCUGACGCCUGCCCGGUGCUGGAAGGUUAAGAGGAGAGGUUAGCGCAAGCGAAGCUUUGAAUUUAAGCCCCAGUAAACGGCGGCCGUAACUAUAACGGUCCUAAGGUAGCGAAAUUCCUUGUCGGGUAAGUUCCGACCCGCACGAAAGGCGUAAUGAUUUGAGCGCUGUCUCGACAAUGCACCCGGUGAAAUUGAAAUACCAGUGAAGAUGCUGGUUACCUGCGCCAGGACGGAAAGACCCCAUGGAGCUUUACUCCAGCUUGAUACUGGGAUUCGGUACUGCAUGUACAGGAUAGGUGGGAGGCCGUGAAGCAAGGACGCCAGUCUUUGUGGAGCCAAUGUUGGGAUACCACCCUUGCGGUAUUGGGUUUCUAACCUGCGCCCAUGACCUGGGCGGGGGACAAUGUCAGGUGGGGAGUUUGACUGGGGCGGUCGCCUCCGAAAGGGUAUCGGAGGCGCUCAAAGGUUCCCUCAGAAUGGUUGGAAACCAUUCGAAGAGUG